rnacentral:rRNA from 1 species
CCCUUAGAUGUUCUGGGCCGCACGCGCGCUACAAUGAUGCAGGCAACGAGUGCCGCUCCUUAGCCGAAAGGCUUGGGGAAUCUUGAAAACUGCAUCGUGCUAGGGAUAGAUGAUUGCAAUCGUGCAUCUUGAACGAGGAAUGCCUAGUAAGCGCAAGUCAUCAGCUUGCGUUGAUUACGUCCCUGCCCUUUGUACACACCGCCCGUCGCUCCUACCGAUUGAAUGGUCCGGUGAAGCGUUCGGACCGUGGCCUUUGGACGGUUCGCCGUCUGUUGGCUGCGGGAAGUUCGUUAAACCUUAUCAUUUAGAGGAAGGAGAAGUCGUAACA